rnacentral:rRNA from 1 species
UGAUAGGUCAUCUCAUCUGGAAGGAGAGAUGGCUUAAAGGGGUACGCGGGCUUCUUCCGCGAAUCUGCUCCAGGAUGGGACUGCGUCCGAUCAGGCUGUUGGCGGGGUAAUGGCCCACCAAACCUGUAACCGGUACGGGCCUUGAGAGAGGUGGCCCGGAGAUGGACACUGAGAGAAGGGUCCAGGUCCUACGGGGCGCAGCAGGCGCGAAACCUUCGCAAUGCGCGAAAGCGUGACGAGGUUAAUCCGAGUGACUCCCGCUGAGGGGGUCUUUUGUCAGCUGUAAAUAGGCAGGCGAAUAAGGGGAGGGCAAGCCUGGUGUCAGCCGCCGCGGUAAUACCAGCUCCUCGAGUGGUCGGGGCGAUUAUUGGGCCUAAAGCAUCCGUAGCCGGUUCCGUAGGUCCUCUGUUAAAUCCAACCGCUUAACGGUUGACCUGCAGAGGAUACCGCGGGACUAGGAGGCGGGAGAGGCGGACGGUACUCCGCGUGUAGGGGUAAAAUCCUUUGAUCCGCGGAAGACCACCAGUGGCGAAGGCGGUCCGCCAGAACGCGCUCGACGGUGAGGGAUGAAAGCUGGGGGAGCGAACCCGGAUUAGAUAC